rnacentral:snRNA from 1 species
GGAGAAUCCCUUGAGCCCAGCAGUUCAAGGCUACAGUGAGCUAUAAUUGCACCCCUGCACUCCUGCCUGGGUGACAGAG